rnacentral:tRNA from 1 species
GCCGGGGUGGCUCAGUCGGUUGAGCAUCCGACUUCAGCUCAGGCCAUGAUCUCAUGGUGUGUGGGUUCAAGCCCCGCAUCAGGCU